rnacentral:rRNA from 1 species
AGUAGGGAAUCUUCCGCAAUGGACGAAAGUCUGACGGAGCAACGCCGCGUGAGCGAAGAAGGUCUUCGGAUUGUAAAGCUCUGUUGUUAGGGAAGAACAAGUACCGUUCGAAGAGGGCGGUACCGUGACGGUACCUAACGAGAAAGCCACGGCUAACUACGUGCCAGCAGCCGCGGUAAUACGUAGGUGGCAAGCGUUGUCCGGAAUUAUUGGGCGUAAAGCGCGCGCAGGCGGUUCCUUAAGUCUGAUGUGAAAGCCCACGGCUCAACCGUGGAGGGUCAUUGGAAACUGGGGGACUUGAGUGCAGAAGAGGAGAGCGGAAUUCCACGUGUAGCGGUGAAAUGCGUAGAGAUGUGGAGGAACACCAGUGGCGAAGGCGGCUCUCUGGUCUGUAACUGACGCUGAGGCGCGAAAGCGUGGGGAGCAAA